UGUGUAGGCGGCCACGUAAGUCGGAUGUGAAAGCCCUGGGCUCAACCCAGGAAGUGCACUCGAUACUGCGUGGCUUGAGUACUGGAGAGGUUGGUGGAAUUCUCGGUGUAGAGGUGAAAUUCGUAGAUAUCGAGAGGAACACCGGUGGCGAAGGCGGCCAACUGGACAGAUACUGACGCUGAGACACGAAAGCGUGGGGAGCAAACAGGAUUAGAUACCCUGGUAGUCCACGCCGUAAACGAUGGGUGCUAGGUGUCACGGGCUUUGACUCCUGUGGUGCCGUAGCAAACGCAUUAAGCACCCCGCCUGGGAAGUACGGCCGCAAGGCUAAA
rnacentral:rRNA from 1 species